UACGUAGGGUGCAAGCGUUGUCCGGAAUUAUUGGGCGUAAAGAGCUCGUAGGCGGUCUGUCGCGUCUGCUGUGAAAACUCAGGGCUUAACCCUGAGCUUGCAGUGGGUACGGGCAGACUAGAGUGUGGUAGGGGAGACUGGAAUUCCUGGUGUAGCGGUGAAAUGCGCAGAUAUCAGGAGGAACACCGAUGGCGAAGGCAGGUCUCUGGGACGGUACUGACGCUGAGGAGCGAAAGCGUGGGGAGCGAACAGG
rnacentral:rRNA from 1 species